rnacentral:rRNA from 1 species
CAGGGUCAGGGUGAGGGAGAGCGAGGAGAGGGGAGAUCUAGGCGGCGUGGGCUCGCUCCUCGAGCACCGCGGUGGUGGUAGUUGUGCGAGGCCGUGGUGGGACCCGACGUGGUCUCGUAGAUCCUCGAGAGAGAAGGAGCGGAUGCAGCUGAUGGAGCGGGGCAAGCUCGAGUCACGGCGGCGUUGUGGGGCAAGCUCCAGUAGAAGUUGGAGGCCUGGACUGCGGCACACGGCAGUAAAGGCCGCGGCAGCUGGGUGGGGCUCGGGCGACGGGAAGGGAUGUCUAAGUAAUGGGGCACUGCCGACGUCUACGGCGACACUAGCUGAUACAGCUGCUUCUGGAGAGGAAGAGCCGACUCGUUGGUC